rnacentral:pre_miRNA from 1 species
CCUAGGUUUUCGUGUCCGUCUUGUAUGAAAUUUUUUUAUAAUUCGUAUUUUUAUUGUUGUUAGAUGAUAAAACAUGAUUAAUACUUUGUGCGUGACUUGUUUUUUUUAAUUUUUUUCAUAAUUUUUUCAAAUAAGACGGACGGUCAAACGUUGGGCACGGAAACC